GCUUGGCUGGCUCAGUCAGUAGAGCAUCUGACUCUUGAUCUCAGCGUUGUGAGUUCAAGUCCCAUGUUGGGUG
rnacentral:tRNA from 1 species